GGUGGCUCAGUUGUAGAGUGCUUGCCUUGCAUGCAUGAGGCCCUGAGUUCAAUUCCUCAGUACCA
rnacentral:tRNA from 1 species